UCUCGAUUAGGUAUUAGUGAAUAACCUGCAUCAGCAAGUCGAUACAGGAGUACUAAUAUAUCUAUACCUGUAUAUCUACAACACUGUUGGCAAAAUUCUACCUUCCCCUUUUUCGAAUAAUGGAGUUAAGUUUUCCUUCAGAGUACGGAUGAGAAUCGGACCGUCUUCCUAUCGAGCCCUUGACAGUUCCGUUUCGUUCGAGUCAAGGGGGGUUUACAACUUUUGUCGCUGUGCGAUGAUGAGGAAAAUGCAUCUGACAUUGGAAGGGAAUCAGUUAUCGUGAAAGAAAGAGAACAAAAGAGAACUGUUUUGAUUGCAUGCUUGGGUUGGCGUAUAUUUCGUUAUCUAUCAACAGUGAAUUACAGGCAAACAGAAUCAU